rnacentral:rRNA from 1 species
UGGCGAACGGGUGAGUAACACGUGAGUAACCUGCCCCAGACUCUGGGAUAACCCCGGGAAACCGGAGCUAAUACCGGAUACGACACGAAGAGGCAUCUCUAUCGUGUGGAAAGUUUUUCGGUCUGGGAUGGACUCGCGGCCUAUCAGCUUGUUGGUGAGGUAACGGCUCACCAAGGCGACGACGGGUAGCCGGCCUGAGAGGGCGACCGGCCACACUGGGACUGAGACACGGCCCAG